rnacentral:rRNA from 1 species
AGACCUACGGGGGGCUGCAGUGGGGAAUAUUGCACAAUGGGCGCAAGCCUGAUGCAGCAACGCCGCGUGAGGGACGACGGCCUUCGGGUUGUAAACCUCUUUUAGCAGGGAAGAAGCGAAAGUGACGGUACCUGCAGAAAAAGCACCGGCUAACUACGUGCCAGCAGCCGCGGUAAUACGUAGGGUGCAAGCGUUGUCCGGAAUUAUUGGGCGUAAAGAGCUCGUAGGCGGUUUGUCGCGUCUGCUGUGAAAUCCCGAGGCUCAACCGCGGGCCUGCAGUGGGUACGGGCAGACUAGAGUGCGGUAGGGGAGAUUGGAAUUCCUGGUGUAGCGGUGGAAUGCGCAGAUAUCAGGAGGAACACCGAUGGCGAAGGCAGAUCUCUGGGCCGUAACUGACGCUGAGGAGCGAAAGCGUGGGGAGCGAACAGGAUUAGAUACCCCUGUAGUCGCU